UGGGAUUGUAGUUCAAUAGGCAAGAGCACCGCCCUGUCAAGGCGGAUGUUGCGGGUUCGAGCCCCGUCAGUCCCGAC
rnacentral:tRNA from 3 species